GCCCCGCGCUGGCAGGAAGACGCGCCGGCAGCGGAGCGCGCACCGGCUGCUGUGCCCAAAGGAAAGAGCUGUCCCGAAGAGGCACCGGCACAACAAGCGAGGGCAAAAAGCAAAGGCGCGGAGGCGGGACAUGCGGAUGCCAGGUGCUCCUCAACCCACGCGGCCGCUUCGACUUUUUUGAGAGGGACAGGCAGACGCCAUCCCGCUGCCCCGCCUCGGGAGCGCCAGCACGGAGCGCAGGUCGGCCGCCGCGCUGCUGAGGUCAAAGAGCUCUUCAGGCUCCUGUAACGCUGACAGAAAUACAUUAAGGCUGGAAGCAACCUCCAGAGACAGAGUCCAAGCCCCCUACUCAGGCAGGUGCAGCUGCAGCAGGUUCCCCAGAGCCAUGUCCAGUUGGGCGCUGAACAUCUUCAAUACUGAAGCCUCUACAGCCUUUCCAGGCAAUUUCUUCCAGCAUUUGACUGCCCUCACUGACAAAGUGUUUUCUAAUGCUUAGACAGAAUUACCUCUGUUUCAAAAUACACUCAGGUUUUCAAAUGUUAAGCUUCAGUUUUCUUCUAACAUUACUGGAUGCCAUUGGGGAAAGAAUCAGAAGAUUAAGGACAAGUCUCAACAUGAAAAAACAGGAAAGUAUAUGAACAUGUUUAUGUAAUGUUUUUCCUUUUCAAAAAGAGUAACUUAUGCAACUUUCAGCAUUAACAUUAAAGGAAGUGACAAGCAGAA